rnacentral:rRNA from 1 species
GAUGAACGCUAGCUACAGGCUUAACACAUGCAAGUCGAGGGGCAGCACGGAGAUAGCUUGCUAUCUUGGGUGGCGACCGGCGCACGGGUGAGUAACGCGUAUCCAACCUGCCCAUUACUCUGGGAUAGCCUUGCGAAAGUAAGAUUAAUACCGGAUGUUGUUUGAUUGCCGCAUGACGGUCAAACCAAAGAUUCAUCGGUAAGGGAUGGGGAUGCGUAUGAUUAGCUUGUUGGCGGGGUAACGGCCCACCAAGGCAACGAUCAUUAGGGGUUCUGAGAGGAAGGUCCCCCCACACUGGAACUGAGACACGGUCCAGACUCCUACGGGAGGCAGCAGUGAGGAAUAUUGGUCAAUGGACGCAAGUCUGAACCAGCCAAGUCGCGUGCAGGAUAAGGCCCUAUGGGUCGCAGACUGCUUUUGCAUGAGAAUAAAAAGUGGGACGAGUCCCACCCUGUAGGUAUCAUGCGAAUAAGGAUCGGCUAACUCCGUG